rnacentral:rRNA from 1 species
UACGUAGGGUCCAAGCGUUGUCCGGAAUUACUGGGCGUAAAGAGCUCGUAGGUGGUUUGUCGCGUUGUUCGUGAAAACUCACAGCUCAACUGUGGGCGUGCGGGCGAUACGGGCAGACUAGAGUACUGCAGGGGAGACUGGAAUUCCUGGUGUAGCGGUGGAAUGCGCAGAUAUCAGGAGGAACACCGGUGGCGAAGGCGGGUCUCUGGGCCGAUACUGACGCUGAGGAGCGAAAGCGUGGGGAGCGAACAGG